UGCGUGCACAGGGGAGAACCGACGCCACGCAGCCGCCGCGCUGCUUGAGCACGGUGCCGAAGGAGCAACCGCCCCGGAAACUCUCAGGCAAAAGGGACCUUGUGCACGGC
rnacentral:ncRNA from 2 species